rnacentral:lncRNA from 1 species
GCCGGGUUUGCAAAUGAACGUGAUGCCGGGAAUUUUCUGGGCAUGAUUUAGUACUCCGGAUCAGUUGCAAAGUGAAAUAAAGCAAAAGUGAUAUUUUAAUAUAUCAAUAACCAUAAAAGUGAUUACUUUGCAUAUGAAAAGAAGAAAGCAUACUUAGCUGACAUUAUUUGAUUUUAGUAAAUCUGCAGUAGUUCUAGCAAAAACCAUAUUAGAGAGCCUAAUCCUUUUGCAAAAUACUUCUUUUUCAAUUGAGGAAAUACUUGUAUACCAAGGUAGUCCUCCGAGGAACCAUUGCUAAUGUUGUAAGAAAACAUAGCCAAAUGGAACAGUGCAUAACUGAUUAUGGGUUAUGGUCCUUUUCUAUUGAUGUUUAUCUGUAUGCUCUGAAUCUUAGAAAAUGGUAUGUGGUGGGUUUAGAAUCAGAGAAGGAAGCCGAGUUUGUUAUGGUAGACAGUAAAAGAACAUUGAGAAACAUGUGUGCCUCAACAAAACAAACAAUAUCUGUAUCCUGUGAACUUCAGAGAUAUUUUUAAAUGCCUUAACUCUGGGAUGUUAAAUGUAGAGACUUGGGGUAUAUGUAAUAUGGAAUUUAUUGAAUAGUCAUGGAUUCUUGUGUUCCUCUUAUAACUGAUUUAAAAUCAGAUGCUGGGAACUGUGGGAUGGCUCAGUGGGUGAUGCACUUGCUGUAUAAGCCUGAGGAAUAAAGGUUGACUCUCCAGUAACCACAUAAGUGCCAGACAGGCAGCCCGCCUGUAAUCCCAGUACUCUGGAAGCAGACCCAGGGGGUGACCAGAGACAUCUCACUUGCUAGGCUAGCUGAGUCAAUGAGUCCCAAGUUCAGAAAGAGACCCUGCCUCAGUCGAUGAAGUAGAGAAAGAUAAAGAGUAACACCGAAGGUCAACCUCUAGCUUCUACACUCAAGCACAGAAAUGUGCUCACACACACACACACACACUGAACCUACACUGAUGUAAACAUACACACACACACACACACACACUGAACCUACACUGAUGUAAACACACACACACACACACACACACACACACACACACACACACACACACUGAACCUACACUGAUGUGAAAACAUGUUUAGCUGAACUUAACUUGUAAAAGAAACCUGUUUGCUCAAGGAAAGCAGGACAGCGUUAUCCUCUUUACUGAACGCAAGGGUAUCGUUCUCCUGGAAUGAAGUUGAGGAAUAAGCCUGGAUUCAAGUGUCAGGGUCCAGCCUAAGAAAGAAAAGCGUAUUGGUGACAGGAGAUCAGAGUUCUCCCUUGAGUAGCAGAAGUCAGAUUAUUUGGUCCCCAGAACAGAUUGUUCUUUUCAGAGCAGCAAAUGUGCCCCAGUGACUGGUAAGAUAGCUUAGGACAGCUGAUGAUGGCAAGAAAGGACUCUUUGCUGUUUUCCUCCAACUUAUUGUUCAUUCAAAGCUGCCUUUUCUCAUAUAAGAUAUAUGCUGUGUGCUCUAUGAUGAAAAUUUUCUUAAUGAUAAAAUAAUUUCACCACUGAAGAAUCCACUUGGCACUACCACCCCACUAAUCUAAAUUAGGUCGACUACCCCGAGAGUAUGUUAUAUCUUCAUGCUGCACAGUUUGGCUCUAGAUAGUAUCUAUUCUUUACAUCCUCAUGUCUCUCCUAUAAGAAGCUAACAUGGCUGAAGGUUGGAAACUAUGUCUUUUCAUUUGUAUAUAAAAGAGAAGUCAGUAAAUAGCAUUUGAAUGCAUAUGAUAUAGUUCUUUUCUCCAAAUAUUAUCAAGGAACAACAUCACCCAAAGACAUUGUGUCCACCUUUUUGGUUUUAAGUCUUGCUCAUUGUACAUUUCCUGCCUUCACCAAUACCUUUAUCAAAGUAAAUUACUUCUGUCUGGAAAGUGCUAGAAAAUAAUUAAUAGGAAGAACAUAAUGAUAGUCAAACCUACCCUUGGCCAUUCAUUUCAUGGACGUUAUAAAAUAUGUAAUAUUAAUGUGUUAUAUAUCAUGUUUGAUAUAAUCUACAGGUUAUAUUAUAUAUGUGAUAAUAAAUAAAUAUUAGAGUUCAUAUGUACUUCUGCUGUAGAUCAGGUAUUAACUCAUGGGUGAAUUCAGACAUAGUAUGUUAUGAAUACACAUAUAAACAAUAACUGAAUUUGAAGUUUAUUCUGCUUUAUUCUGAGUCCUUUAUUUCAUUUAAAAUUCACAAUAACUGGGCUUGGAGAGAUGGCUCAGUGGUUAAGAGCACUGACUGCUCUUCCACAGAUCCUGAGUUCAAUUCCCAACAACCACAUGGUGGAUCACAGCCAUUUGGUAAUAUAGUUAAAAUGGCUAUCUUGCCAAAAGCUAUCUAUAGAUUGAAUGCAAUCUCCAUUGAAAUUCCAACUCAAUUUUUCACCAAGUUAGAAAGGGCGAUUGGCAAAUUCAUCUGGAAUAACAAAAAAAAAAAAAAAAAAAAAAAAAAACCAAGAUAGUAAAAAAUAUUCUCAACAAUAAAAGAACCUCUGGUUGAAUCACCGUGCCUGACCUCAAGCUGUACUACAGAACAAUUGUGGGAAAAAAAAAAAAAAAAACCCUGCAUGGUACUGGUAUAGCGACAAACAGGUAAAUCAAUGGAAUAGAAUUGAAGACCGAGAAGUGAACCCACACACCUAUGGUCACUUGAUAGUUGACAAAGGUGCUAAAACCAUCCAAUGGAAAAAAGACAGCAUUUUCAACAAAUGGUGCUGGCUAAACUGGCGGUUAUCAUGUAGAAGAAUGUGAAUUGAUCCAUUCUUAUCUCCUUGUACAAAGCUCAAGUCUAAGUGGACCAAGGAACUCCAUGUAAAACCAGAGACACUGGAACUUAUAGAGGAGAAAGUGGGGAAAAGCCAUGAAGAUAUGGUCACAGGAAAAAAAUUCCUGAACAGAACAGCAAUGGCUUGUGCUGUAAGAUCAAGAAUCGACAAAUGGGACCUCAUAAAAUUGUAAAGCUUCUGUAAGGCAAAAUACACUGUCAAUAAGACAAAAAGGCCACCAACAGAUUGGGAAAGGAUUUUUACCAAUCCGAUGGGGGAUUAAUACCCAAUAUAUAUAACG